CACCACUAUGUUUGUCAAUAACAGACAUGUACUGUAGACUGUAUGCCUACAUUACAGUGUACUUUUAUUACAGAAAGAACGAACAUCAGCGUAGUUCCUUCAGUCACUAAAAUAAAGAUAGCAAAAUAACUUUGUAUAAACUUCAUGUAAAAGAUGGUUAAAGGAGCUUAUACAACACUGCAGCUUUUGCGAUACCCUCUAGUGUUUGGAGGUUGCUUGUUGGCAUACUUUACAGCUUUUUCGUACAGAAAAACAUAUUUCGGGCAAGAUAUUGAAGAAGCUAGAAGGAAAAAUGAGGAAAUUAACAAGAAGAAUUCAGCUUUUUUGGCAGAAAUGGCACGGCGAAGUAAAAUGAGAAAAGAAGCAGAGCAGCACUCAAAAGCGUAAACUCCUUCAGUUUUAUUUUCAAAUGGGGUCAACCAUUAGUUUUCUAACGUCAUUUUAAAAGUUGAUUUAAGCUACAAAAAUUAACUGCUAAUAUGUUUACAAACUUCAGCCAUUGACUGAAGUGAAGCUUAAAAAUUAAAUUUUAAUUGGUUUGUCUCAAAAUAAAUGAUUGAAAAUACUGUACUGUGCCAUACUGAUCUACUGUAAACCCAACGGCCUUGGGAAUAUUGUUUUUUUUUUUGUAGACAGACUUUGUAAAUAUGUGUAUAUUAUUAAUUUGAAAUGUUCAUAUCAAUAAAAAUAAAUUAAAAAAUGCUA